UCAUGGGUUUGGAUUGAUGGCAGGUCUCAUCCCAUGAGCCUCUCACAGUGCCCCAUGCCAAAGCAAACUGUAACCCUGAACCAUUGCCUGGCUUUACCCCGUGGGCUUCAGGCACUGAAGCGGGUUGCACAGUG
ensembl:snoRNA